GCGGAAGUAGUUCAGUGGUAGAAUACAACCUUGCCAAGGUUUGGGGUCGCGGGUUCGAAUCCCGUCUUCCGCUCCA
rnacentral:tRNA from 1 species